GUUCGAACACAGCUUGAAGUGCGGGCAAAAUGUGAUACUGCAAAAAGUUUGCAGCAGUGGCGCGAAUGAAAAGGCAGCAAAAGGGCACCAGUGCAAAAGGGAUUAGGAACUAUUCGGUGUAUGUGCAUGGAACAGGGUUGGACCAUGAGGACCAUGAGGAGGACAAUAAGGAGGAAACCGUGGAAGAGGCAGAAUCGGAGCGCGGAAGAGCCUUUUCUCCGUCUCGCCCCACCGGCAGCAUAUCAUCGGCAGCACCCCAACGAGGGAUGGCACUCGCAGUGUUCGAUAGCGUAAGUUAUUAGUGAAGCUUGAACGUGAAGAUGAAAGAAAUUAAAUGUAAACU